CUCCUGGCAGGCAGAAAAAGAAAAAAAGAAGAAAAAAAACAACAACAAAAAGAAACCCCACCAAAAAACCCAAACCCCAACUACACACCUUGUGCACAGCCCUGGGGCUUCCUAUGCUGCUGUACACGGGUGUUCCCAAGAGCAAAGCUGAGGUCUAAGCUGCAACGUGGAAAGGCAGGAUUGCUGAGCUUGCAGAAACUGCAGAGAUGAUUUUCCUGCCAGCUCUGCCUGCCGUGAGGUGCUGUGCAAAGAAAGCCUGUGGCCACUAGAGGUUCCCCUUGGCCUGGGUGUCAGCCUCUUCUUCCUAUAAUAUAUAUUUAUCUAUUAUAAUAUUUAUUAUUACAAGUAAAUCCAUUCUUGCAAGCCAAAAGUUUCAGAAUUUCGUAAAUGUUAUCAGGCUGAGUACUUAUUUUUUUAAAAGAGAUGGGAGUGGGGAAAAGGCAUAUGAAUAGGCUUUUUUCACUUGAUUUCCAAAAGUGAGCUUAGCAUUAAAUACCACAAAUCACAAUUUUACAAUUCCUUUCAAGACUUUAAACUUAGUAAUGAAGGUGCUCAGUGGUAGGAAAAUGUAACAGGGAUUUUGAGGAGCUGAGUAAUGCAGGCUGCUGCUUUUGAACCUCACAGCUACUUUAAACUACGUGACUGAGGACCUGAAAGGAAAGUAGUAUGCCUGAUUGCAUCAAGUAGUGGGAGCUUCUUUAUCAUACCUGGAGGGCUUGGUGAUGGGAAAGUUAUGGGCGAUGUCUCACGGGCUUGGGAGUUCAUAAUGAAUCUGGAGGAGUCUUAAGUCCUUGAAAAGGAAGGCUGUCCUCUGUCUUGCCAUGGUGCUGUGGUAUGAGAAGAGCAUGAUGCUUGCUAAUUGUGCCUUUUUUCCUGGAUUUUCUAUGCACCGUGUUUUCUGUAAAGGUGACACAGAUACCUGCUUCCUUGGGAGAUGUUUUGUAACCAGCUGACGGCACAAGACUGCUUCUGGCGGCAAACUUAAAGGUUUUCCUGCCUUGUAAAGCACCCGGUUGGGUGUUUCCAGACCUGCCUUGCUAUCACCUCCCCAACACCACUUCGGGUUGCAGAGUCGCUGCAUGAGCAGCUGGGAGAGCUGUGGCUCAGUUCCUUGGCCAUGCUCUGGUGUCGUGGCUGCUUCUGACCGUUUUCAAAUCCACAAACGGCUGCUCGGUGGAACUGGAUCCAGACUUUAGCUAGGCAGUACUUGAGAGCAUUCAGCUCCUGUUUUGCUAACCGAGUGCUGGCUUCUCUUGUGCAAGUGUAGAUCAGGCGCUAGGACUGUCGCUGAACCAGGAUACACAUCUCCCAGCUGCUGACACAGCUUCAGUGCAUUGCUUGCUUGCUGCGAGGCGAAGGAGGCAGCUUUGGAAACCCAGAGGGAAGAGUGCAAGUCCAGUGAGCCAGUGAUCAGUGCCUCGUCCUCCCAGCCUGCAGGGUGCUGGAUCCUCCGUGCCAUAAACAACUGGGAGUCCAUGGUUUUGACCUGUGAGCAUUGCAGAGAGCAGUGCCAGCGCUGGCUCCACCAGCCCACGGGGCCAGCUGGCUGCAGCCAGUGCUCUCCCGCUUGCGGUGGCUGGGGCACAGUUUAUUUCUCUUCAAGUGUUCCUUCUCAUGCUGUGAAAUUCUGCUUCCUUAAAUUCUGCUUCUCCCCUCA